rnacentral:lncRNA from 1 species
UUUGUAUUGGCAAAGACCUACUGAAUGCUCUCUGCAGAGUGAGUACAGGACACUUUCUGGCUUCUUGCACACACGGAUGUAACUGUGAGUGUGCUAUGUGAGAUCCAUGUAAAUGGAAGAAUCCGGGAGCAUUAUAUUCCAUUAAUAACAAGAGUUUGUGUAAAAACGGCAGUUUGCUCUUGACAUAAAGUGCUCUGACGUGGAAUGCUUCUUCCUUUCUUAACCUUUCAGAUCUCCUGAUUGCCUUACAGUGUAGAUCUUCACACUCAAUCAAUUCUGCUUGCUUCUAAGGAGGCAUUUCUGUUUUCAAAAGGGGGGUUCAUGAGGGCAGUGAUAGCAGCAGUAGAAGGUCUGGGUAUGUUAGCUAGGACUUUCUUAGUGGCAGGUGAAAAAAACUGAAUGUGAACCAGGGAAACCAGAAAAGGGCAGCGUGGCGUUGGCUUUAGGGACUCCUGGAAUCAGGGACUUGAAUGUCGUGAGGACUCCUGCUCUCCACUGUUUGUCUUGGCUUCUUGGAGCAUCAGCUUGUUUGCUUGGACUGGCUUCUCAAGUGACGGGGCCAUUGUUGCUGCAGCUCUAGCCUAGCGUGUUUACAGUUCCAAGACAGAGAGGAAAGACCCUCUUUCCUCAGCUCGAGUUUGAAUAAACCCAGCAUAGAAUUCUGAUUGGCUGGACUUUGGUCACAUGUCUAUUUGUGGACCAAUCCCAGUGACUGAGGGUUGAGACUUUGUGAUUGGCCCAUCCUGGAUCAGGUGCCCACCUCUUGCCGCAUGUUAGAAACACCCGUCAGAACCACAUGGUUUGAAAAAGGCUCCAUCUACAGAGGCUGUUUUGGGCACCUAUUUUAGUAAUUUUUUCUUUGAAGUCUUCUUUCCCUCUGUCUGCGUAUAUAUAUGUAUUUAUAAAAUGACAUCAAGGAGAGAGAGCCUCUGUUAUGUCCUAAUCUCUCUUUGCCGCGUGGUUGCAACUGCACAUUCUUAACAAAGGUGUGGAAGCUCCGCCGGAGAUGGAAGUCUCAGUGCAGGUGCUGCUUCGGAGGGAUUCAGAUCUUAGAGAAGAAAGAUGUUACGAGAGCUCAUUACUGCAUCACUGAACUGCUAAGAAUUAUUAAGAGCUCCCUUUCUCUUUAGUUUUAUAUGUGCAUUGAAUUUAUUUUUCUGGUGUGACAGCAGUGUUCAUAAAGGGCUAAACAUUCACUCUGCUAAUGAUUCUCGAUGUUUCCAGUCACCUGAGAAACAGGGAUGCCUCAUUUCAGGAGAUGUGCAUGAAGGCGGUAACAGUCAACACAUGGUGUAGGCUCUUUGGGUGUUAAACACUUGGAAUAUACGCAGGCUCAGUUG